GCCAGCGUAGUGUAAUGGUUUGAGCAUUGGACUAGGACUCUAGAGACCAGGGUUCGAAUUCUGGCUUGGCC
rnacentral:tRNA from 1 species